AAUUCUGGGAAUUAUUUUCCUGCAGUAAAAUGCAAGAGCUGUGAAGGAGAAACUCCUCUUCUCCUUCCUUCUGAUGAGAGUGCUGCCCUGUGAGAACGUGAUAUGGGGUAGAUGGCAGACAUCUUGGAAGAAGGAAAGAAAGGCCAACAGAAGCACAGGGAUUGCAAACCACUGCCCUGAUACCAAAAAGCCUCUGAAUCAACCCUGGAACUGGGAGGAUGAACCAGUAAUUCAGACUACAGGAAAAAAGGAGUAAGACAGUUCAGAAAAGCUUAAAAAUCUUGAAGUCCGUUCCAUGAAGGAAAGGGUCACAACGAAUGUCGGCACAGCACCUGGAUUCUGUGGUUUAUUUUACCCAAGUACUUGAUAAACCUGAUGCCAACAGCAACUGUGAAAUGGAAGCAACUCUACAAAUUAUUGCCAUCAUGAGACUAUCAUUAGGUCUACAUAGCUCAAGCUUCACUUGGAGUUCAAUUGUGUGAUUCAGAAGCACAGCUAGGAUAAGUCACAGACUGGAAAGGGGAAGAGGAGAGAGGUACAGGAGAAUGCGUCGGAGGCAGCAUCUGCCUGGGAUGAGGGCACCUCCCCUCUUGUCAUGAAACUCCCCACCCUUUUCUCUGAAAACCCCAGCUUGCCGUAGCUCACAGGUGCAAGAAUUCCUCCAUAAAGGCCCACUCCAGAUGGUUGUGAUAAGUCAGUGGAAAACACACAGAGUCUUCUCCAAUGUUUGCGGCCAGUAGUGUCAGUUGUCAUGCCUUGGCAACUGGGUUACAUUUUAUGGUCCAGUUCUAAUCAGAUGGUAGUAAGUCCCCAUAGGAUUGUGCUGGGGAGAAUUCUGAGGUCAAUCCUUCAAUCACAGAAAGAGACCCUGAUAGCUUUCUGGUAUCAGCCAUCAGAUAGGAAAGGGGGUAUUAGCAAUACAUACAUAUGCCAUGCAUUAAUUAUCUUUGCCCUACUGACAUGUUUUACUUAAUGUCCAAGGAUGCUUCUUUAGAGUGGCCAUAUAAUUUAUUAUCCAAACAAGAAAACACAUGUGGGUUAAGAGGGAUGGGUGGAGUGGUAUUACAUGAUUGUGCUAAGGACACAAAUAAAAAGGAACACGUACAAGGAAUUUUGAGAUAUAUGGUCAUUCUGUCAUCAGGAGCUGGUAGACUCCACUGUCAACUAAAAUAGUGAAGCUGAAAUAAAAUUUAGGUCUUCAUUCACCUUUA